rnacentral:rRNA from 1 species
GCAAGUCGAACGAGAAAGGAAUCUUCGGAUUCCGAGUAGAGUGGCGCACGGGUGAGUAACACGUGGAUAACCUGCCCUAUGAUCUGGGAUAACUGACCGAAAGGACAGCUAAUACCGGAUAAGCCCACAGAGACUUAGGUCUCAGUGGGAAAAGAUUUAUCGUCAUAGGAUGGGUCCGCGGUCCAUUAGCUAGUUGGUAGGGUAACGGCCUACCAAGGCUACGAUGGAUAGCUGGUCUGAGAGGAUGAUC